rnacentral:rRNA from 1 species
GACGAACGCUGGCGGCGUGCUUAACACAUGCAAGUCGAACGAUGAAGAAGAGAAACGCGAACUUCGGUUCAAAUUUCACUUCGGAUUAGUGGCAGACGGGUGAGUAACGCGUGAGCAACCUACCUCUUACAAAGGGAUAGCCUCGGGAAACCGUGAUUAAUACCAUAUGACACAUUCAUAAGGCAUCUUAAGAAUGUUAAAGCUACGGCGGUAAGAGAUGGGCUCGCGUCCCAUUAGCUAGUUGGUGAGGUAACGGCCCACCAAGGCGACGAUGGGUAACCGGCCUGAGAGGGUGAACGGUCACAUUGGAACUGAGACACGGUCCAAACUCCUACGGGAGGCAGCAGUGGGGAAUAUUGCACAAUGGAGGGAACUCUGAUGCAGCGACGCCGCGUGAGCGAUGAAGGAAUUCGUAUUGUAAAGCUCUGUUCUAUGGGAAGAAAAGGACUGUACCAUAGGAGAAAGCCCCGGCUAAAUACGUG